rnacentral:lncRNA from 1 species
UGCUCCAUUUUGUCUACCAUGUGCCUUCUGUCAAUCUUUUCUCGAUUUCACUUCAUUUUUUCUUCUCGAAAGUCUUGGUCGGUGGCAUAUUUUGACCGAUGACAGCUGGUCGGUGGUCUUAUGCAAAUUUUUCUACAAGCAAAUCGUACACCUUAUUAUAAUUUUUUAUAUUUUUUCAACGAAUUAGUAGAUAGAGGAGCUACAAUUUUUUUUCACUUUAAUAUUACAAUUGUUUAUAUGUAAGAUUAUGCCAAAACUCAC